AGAACUUUAAGUUAAAAAAACUAAGGGCCUUCAAAGCCUUAAAUAAAAGACUACUUUUAAGUUCUA
rnacentral:tRNA from 1 species